rnacentral:lncRNA from 1 species
GGAUGUACCACGUCAGCGUAUGAUACUCUCAUUCAAAUUUCGACAUGUGUUUAUUUUUGAAAAGAAAUUAAUUACUUUAUUACAGCUGGACUUACUUAACCUUUAUCUUUUAAAAUAAAAUUAGAAAAAUAAAAAAGAAAGAAAGAAAGAAUUUUCCAACAACCCUUCGUCCCCAACCCGAACACCCAUAACCGCCAACCUGUGCCACCCCUCUCCUUGCUCUUCCUCUUCAAAAUCGGAUGCUCAGCAGACAAUUCACCUUAGAAUCCGAUUUUGAACCCAAGUCUUUUAUUAGCCAAAUCAAAUUGAAGAAGAUUGUCCUCCAAUUGAUGCGCUCUAAUCACAAUGGCAGCACCUUGAGUUACUUGGGCACAGCCCAACAUCCACAAAUCCCAAAUACAACACAUCUUUGUUCACUUACACCAUUGAAUUUGCACAAACACACUCUCU